GGAAAAAAGUCGUAACAAGGUUUCCGUAGGUGAACCUGCGGAAGGAUCAUUAUUGUAUAACCGAGGUGCGAGGGCUGUCGCUGACCCGAAAGGUCGUGCACGCCCGAGUGCCCUCACACACAUCCAUCUCACCCCUAUGUGCACCACCGCGUGGGUCCCCCUUUGGCUUGUUCGGAGGGGGGCUUACGUUUUCACACAAACUUUGUAUGCAGUGUAGAAUGUAUUUUUUGUUUUUGCGAUCACGCAAUUAAUACAACUUUCAACAACGGAUCUCUUGGCUCUC
rnacentral:misc_RNA from 1 species